UACGUAGGGCGCGAGCGUUGUCCGGAAUUAUUGGGCGUAAAGAGCUCGUAGGCGGCUCGGUAAGUCAGGUGUGAAACCUCCAGGCUCAACCUGGAGACGCCACCUGAUACUGCUGUGGCUAGAGUCCGGUAGGGGAGCGUGGAAUUCCUGGUGUAGCGGUGAAAUGCGCAGAUAUCAGGAGGAACACCAGCGGCGAAGGCGGCGCUCUGGGCCGGAACUGACGCUGAGGAGCGAAAGCGUGGGUAGCAAACAGG
rnacentral:rRNA from 1 species